rnacentral:rRNA from 1 species
GUGUCAGCCGCCGCGGUAAUACGUAGGGAGCAAGCGUUAUCCGGAAUUACUGGGCGUAAAGGGUGCGCAGGCGGACAUUUAAGUGAGAUGUGAAAGACCCGGGCUUAACUUGGGCAGUGCAUUUCAAACUGGAUGUCUGGAGUGCAGGAGAGGAGAACGGAAUUCCUAGUGUAGCGGUGAAAUGCGUAGAGAUUAGGAAGAACACCCGUGGCGAAGGCGGGUGUCUGGACUGUAACUGACGCUGAGGCACGAAAGCGUGGGUAGCAAACAGGAUUAGAUACCCUGGUAGUCCACGCCGUAAACGAUGAGUACUAGGUGUAGGAGGUAUCGACCCCUUCUGUGCCGCAGUAAACACAAUAAGUACUCCGCCUGGGAAGUACGAUCGCAAGAUUAAAACUUAAAUGAAUUGACGG